rnacentral:rRNA from 1 species
GACGAACGCUGGCGGCGUGCUUAACACAUGCAAGUCGAACGGAAAGGCCCUGCUUUUGUGGGGUGCUCGAGUGGCGAACGGGUGCGUAACACGUGAGUAACCUGCCCUUGACUUUGGGAUAACUUCAGGAAACUGGGGCUAAUACCGGAUAGGAGCUCCUGCUGCAUGGUGGGGGUUGGAAAGUUUCGGCGGUUGGGGAUGGACUCGCGGCUUAUCAGCUUGUUGGUGGGGUAGUGGCUUACCAAGGCUUUGACGGGUAGCCGGCCUGAGAGGGUGACCGGCCACAUUGGGACUGAGAGACGGCCCAGACUCCUACGGGAGGCAGCAGUGGGGAAUAUGGCACAAUGGGCGGAAGCCUGAUGCAGCAACGCCGCGUGCGGGAUGACGGCCUUCGGGUUGUAAACCGCUUUCGCCUGUGACGAAGCGUGAGUGACGGUAAUGGGUAAAGAAGCACCGGCUAACUACGUG